GGUUAAGCGACUAAGCGUACACGGUGGAUGCCCUGGCAGUCAGAGGCGAUGAAGGACGUGCUAAUCUGCGAAAAGCGCCGGCGAGGUGAUAUGAACCUUUGACCCGGCGAUGUCCGAAUGGGGAAACCCAGUGCAAUUCGUUGCACUAUCGUUAACUGAAUACAUAGGUUAACGAGGCGAACCGGGGGAACUGAAACAUCUAAGUACCCCGAGGAAAAGAAAUCAACCGAGAUUCCCCCAGUAGCGGCGAGCGAACGGGGAGCAGCCCGGAGUCUGAAUCAGCUUGUGUGUUAGUGGAACGGUCUGGAAAGUCCGACGGUACAGGGUGAUAGUCCCGUACACGAAAGCACACAUGCUGUGAACUCGAAGAGUAGGGCGGGACACGUGGUAUCCUGUCUGAAUAUGGGGGGACCAUCCUCCAAGGCUAAAUACUCCUGACUGACCGAUAGUGAACCAGUACCGUGAGGGAAAGGCGAAAAGAACCCCGGCGAGGGGAGUGAAAAAGAACCUGAAACCGUGUACGUACAAGCAGUGGGAGCCUCUUUAUGGGGUGACUGCGUACCUUUUGUAUAAUGGGUCAGCGACUUAUAUUCUGUAGCAAGGUUAACCGUAUAGGGGAGCCGAAGGGAAACCGAGUCUUAACUGGGCGUUAAGUUGCAGGGUAUAGACCCGAAACCCGGUGAUCUAGCCAUGGGCAGGUUGAAGGUUGGGUAACACUAACUGGAGGACCGAACCGACUAAUGUUGAAAAAUUAGCGGAUGACCUGUGGCUGGGGGUGAAAGGCCAAUCAAACCGGGAGAUAGCUGGUUCUCCCCGAAAGCUAUUUAGGUAGCGCCUCGUGAAUUCAUCUUCGGGGGUAGAGCACUGUUUCGGCUAGGGGGCCAUCCCGGCUUACCAACCCGAUGCAAACUACGAAUACCGAAGAAUGUUAUCACGGGAGACACACGGCGGGUGCUAACGUCCGUCGUGAAGAGGGAAACAACCCAGACCGCCAGCUAAGGUCCCAAAGUCAUGGUUAAGUGGGAAACGAUGUGGGAAGGCACAGACAGCCAGGAUGUUGGCUUAGAAGCAGCCAUCAUUUAAAGAAAGCGUAAUAGCUCACUGGUCGAGUCGGCCUGCGCGGAAGAUGUAACGGGGCUAAACCAUGCACCGAAGCUGCGGCAGCGACGCUUAGGCGUUGUUGGGUAGGGGAGCGUUCUGUAAGCCGUUGAAGGUGUCCUGUGAGGGGUGCUGGAGGUAUCAGAAGUGCGAAUGCUGACAUAAGUAACGAUAAAGCGGGUGAAAAGCCCGCUCGCCGGAAGACCAAGGGUUCCUGUCCAACGUUAAUCGGGGCAGGGUGAGUCGACCCCUAAGGCGAGGCCGAAAGGCGUAGUCGAUGGGAAACAGGUUAAUAUUCCUGUACUUGGUGUUACUGCGAAGGGGGGACGGAGAAGGCUAUGUCAGCCGGGCGACGGUUGUCCCGGUUUAAGCAUGUAGGCGGAGGUUCCAGGUAAAUCCGGUACCUUAUUAACGCUGAGGUGUGAUGACGAGGCACUACGGUGCUGAAGUGAUAAAUGCCCUGCUUCCAGGAAAAGCCUCUAAGCAUCAGGUAACACGAAAUCGUACCCCAAACCGACACAGGUGGUCAGGUAGAGAAUACCAAGGCGCUUGAGAGAACUCGGGUGAAGGAACUAGGCAAAAUGGUGCCGUAACUUCGGGAGAAGGCACGCUGAUAUGUAGGUGAAGCCCCUGCGGGCGGAGCUGAAAUCAGUCGAAGAUACCAGCUGGCUGCAACUGUUUAUUAAAAACACAGCACUGUGCAAACACGAAAGUGGACGUAUACGGUGUGACGCCUGCCCGGUGCCGGAAGGUUAAUUGAUGGGGUUAGCGGCAACGCGAAGCUCUUGAUCGAAGCCCCGGUAAACGGCGGCCGUAACUAUAACGGUCCUAAGGUAGCGAAAUUCCUUGUCGGGUAAGUUCCGACCUGCACGAAUGGCGUAAUGAUGGCCAGGCUGUCUCCACCCGAGACUCAGUGAAAUUGAACUCGCUGUGAAGAUGCAGUGUACCCGCGGCAAGACGGAAAGACCCCGUGAACCUUUACUAUAGCUUGACACUGAACACUGGUCCUUGAUGUGUAGGAUAGGUGGGAGGCUUUGAAGCGUGGACGCCAGUCUGCGUGGAGCCAACCUUGAAAUACCACCCUUUAAUGGCUGGUGUUCUAACGUAGACCCGUAAUCCGGGUUGCGGACAGUGUCUGGUGGGUAGUUUGACUGGGGCGGUCUCCUCCCAAAGAGUAACGGAGGAGCACGAAGGUUGGCUAAUCCUGGUCGGACAUCAGGAGGUUAGUGCAAUGGCAUAAGCCAGCUUGACUGCGAGCGUGACGGCGCGAGCAGGUGCGAAAGCAGGUCAUAGUGAUCCGGUGGUUCUGAAUGGAAGGGCCAUCGCUCAACGGAUAAAAGGUACUCCGGGGAUAACAGGCUGAUACCGCCCAAGAGUUCAUAUCGACGGCGGUGUUUGGCACCUCGAUGUCGGCUCAUCACAUCCUGGGGCUGAAGUAGGUCCCAAGGGUAUGGCUGUUCGCCAUUUAAAGUGGUACGCGAGCUGGGUUUAGAACGUCGUGAGACAGUUCGGUCCCUAUCUGCCGUGGGCGCUGGAGAAUUGAGGGGGGCUGCUCCUAGUACGAGAGGACCGGAGUGGACGCAUCACUGGUGUUCGGGUUGUCAUGCCAAUGGCACUGCCCGGUAGCUAAAUGCGGAAGAGAUAAGUGCUGAAAGCAUCUAAGCACGAAACUUGCCCCGAGAUGAGUUCUCCCUGAGACUUUAAGUCUCCUGAAGGAACGUUGAAGACUACGACGUUGAUAGGUCGGGUGUGUAAGCGCAGCGAUGCGUUGAGCUAACCGAUACUAAUGAACCGUGAGGCUUAACCUU
rnacentral:rRNA from 1 species